UACGAAGGGGGCUAGCGUUGCUCGGAAUCACUGGGCGUAAAGGGCGCGUAGGCGGGUCUUUAAGUCAGGGGUGAAAUCCCGGAGCUCAACUCCGGAACUGCCUUUGAUACUGGAGAUCUUGAGUCCGGGAGAGGUGAGUGGAACUCCGAGUGUAGAGGUGAAAUUCGUAGAUAUUCGGAAGAACACCAGUGGCGAAGGCGGCUCUCUGGGACGUGACUGACGCUGAGACGCGAAAGCGUGGGGAGCGAACAGG
rnacentral:rRNA from 1 species